rnacentral:rRNA from 1 species
CCUACGGGUGGCAGCAGUGGGGGAUAUUGCACAAUGGGGGGAACCCUGAUGCAGCGACGCCGCGUGGGUGAAGGAGUGCUUCGGCAUGUAAAGCCCUAUCGGCAGGGAAGAAGCAAGACGGUACCUGACUAAGAAGCCCCGGCUAACUACGUGCCAGCAGCCGCGGUAAUACGUAGGGGGCUAGCGUUAUCCGGAAUUACUGGGCGUAAAGGGUGCGUAGGUGGUUUCUUAAGUCAGAGGUGAAAGGCUACGGCUCAACCGUAGUAAGCCUUUGAAACUGGGAAACUUGAGUGCAGGAGAGGAGAGUGGAAUUCCUAGUGUAGCGGUGAAAUGCGUAGAUAUUAGGAGGAACACCAGUUGCGAAGGCGGCUCUCUGGACUGUAACUGACACUGAGGCACGAAAGCGUGGGGAGCAAACAGGAUUAGAUACCCCAGUAGUC